GGUCCUGGGGUGUCACACGUCAGAUUGCAAAUCUGAAGAAGCAGAAGAAGUUCUGCCGGGGCUU
rnacentral:tRNA from 1 species